rnacentral:rRNA from 1 species
GUCUAUGGUCAUACCACUCCAAAUAUAUCUGAUCCUGUAAGGUCUCAGUAGCUAAGCAGGAUCAGACCUUGUUAGAAUUUGGAUGGGAGAAAUAUUUGAAAAAAUAAGUCAAAGAAC